CGGCGGGGCGGGGCUGCCAAGACGCCGUCCCCGGCCCUGGGGGACAGUACAGGCGCAGCGCGGGGCCGCUGGGGCCCCCUCCACUCUGUGCCGGGAGGAGGCCGGGGACGGAGGUGCCGUGGACAGAGGCCUGUGGAGCCUGAGAAGAGGCUCCUCGGGGUCAUAGGCCAGGACUGGCUGGCCCACCUGGACACAGGGAGAAGGGGAAGGAGCUCCCUGGCCCCGCAGACUGUUGCGAGUUGGGCCUCCUCUCUCCUGCUUUUUCUUCCAAACUAGAAGAAAGGGACUUGAGUUCCACCUGCUGGCCGUUCCUGAGGAAACACACGGAACUGAAACCAGGCAUCUUGCCGUGGCUCAGGAGAGCUGUGUGCUCCUCAGAUGCGGCCCUUGAGACCCCUGGAGGUGUUACUGGCUGGCCAGUGGCAGGAGGGCUUUGCGCCAGGCGACCACCUUGCCAGCUCUGGGCCCAAGACCGUGCACAGAAAAUUCUAGAAGGAGGAGGGAGUACGGCAGACUCAGAGAGGAGCCCCGUGUCUGCCCCACGCCCACUCAGCUAGAGGCAGGGCCCGGAAGGUGCAUUUCAACAAGCUCACCCCAGAACGUGAGGCCACAGCUCGACGACCCGUUGGCACGCGCCUCCCCCACCUCCCCCCAUGCGGGUCUCUGCCUGCACAUUCCUCAGAGGUCUUUCCCACCCCCUGCUCUGACAAAGAAAAAGGCCAUGGUGGGUCUAGGCAGGUCCUGUGUGCACCGUCCGGGAAACACUUCUACUACAACGUGAAGCUGAAAUUUAA